UACAGGACUUGGUGUGAACAAGAUUGAAGAUUCAAAGAAUGCAAACAAACACAUGUCACGCUAUUGCUUGAGGGCAAGGCAACGUGGUGAGAUUUGAUUAUUUGAUGAUAAUAAACCCCAAGCAGGUACCUCCGCCAUCUGCAAAUCACAGAAAGGAGGAGGUGGAAGAUAUAAUAUAUAAGAUGGGAUAUGUAAUAGUGGUAUCGGUGCCGGUGAUACUGUUUAUAAUGAUAGUGGCAAUUACGUGCUAUCUUGUGGGAAGAAACCAGGGUCGACGUCAAGCAGCUGCCACAGUUUCUCAGUAUGGACCUCCUGCUCCGCCGCCUCCGUUCCAACCACCACCACCUCGCGACGAAAA